GACGAACGCUGGCGGCGUGCCUAACACAUGCAAGUCGAACGGAAAGGCCCUGCUCUUGCGGGGUUCUCGAGUGGCGAACGGGUGAGUAACACGUGAGUAACCUGCCCUUGACUUUGGGAUAACAUCAGGAAACUGGGGCUAAUACCGGAUAUGAUCUCCUGCUGCAUGGUGGGGGUUGGAAAGUUUCGGCGGUUGGGGAUGGACUCGCGGCUUAUCAGCUUGUUGGUGGGGUAGUGGCUUACCAAGGCUUUGACGGGUAGCCGGCCUGAGAGGGUGACCGGCCACAUUGGGACUGAGAUACGGCCCAGACUCCUACGGGAGGCAGCAGUGGGGAAUAUUGCACAAUGGGCGGAAGCCUGAUGCAGCAACGCCGCGUGCGGGAUGACGGCCUUCGGGUUGUAAACCGCUUUCGCCUGUGACGAAGCGUGAGUGACGGUAAUGGGUAAAGAAGCACCGGCUAACUACGUG
rnacentral:rRNA from 1 species